rnacentral:lncRNA from 10 species
AGCACCAGGUACCCUGAGAAAAGUGAGAAGAGAGAUUGCAGCCCAGGUCCCUGCAGAGGAGGAUGGGCUCCUUUCCCAGGAAGGACUGGCUGAGUGGACUGUCUCCAGGGCACAGGACAACGUUGAGGGCCUGAGGCCUCCACCUUCUUGAAGAAGGACCAUGUGAAUUUCCUGACAGAGAACGGGGAUGGGUUUCUGAAAGCACCACCCAGCUGAGCCUGCCGAAACUGCACAGCUGUUUCCAGGCCAGGCUGGCUGCAUGGAGGACGUGAGAGGAACAGCCAGCUGUGUGUGCUGGGCCCACUGAUCAGGGUGCUCAGGACCAGGAGCCUUCUGAGGAUGUGCAGAGGGGACUCUGGGGAGAGGAACAUGGUGGCCACAGCUGGAGUGACCGCAGUGUACAGAGAUGGGAUGGGAGCAGGAAACCCAAAAGAGCCGGCCCUGGAACCAGGUGGAGGGGAGGCAGCCCGGCCAUGACCCAGAGCAGGUGACACCUGCUCCACUUCACCUUUUGCCAUGAGUAAAAGCUCCCUGAGGCCUCCCAAGAAGUUGAUGCCCUGUGCUUCCUGUACAGCUGCGGAACCGUGAGCCAAUUAAACCU